rnacentral:rRNA from 1 species
AUUGAACGCUGGCGGCAGGCCUAACACAUGCAAGUCGAACGAGUGGCGGACGGGUGAGUAAUGUCUGGGAAACUGCCCGAUGGCGGGGGGUAACUACUGGAAACGGUAGUUAAUACCGCAUACCAUCGGAUGUGCCCAGAUGGGAUUCGCUUGUGGGUGAGGUAACGGCGCACCUAGGCGACGAUCCCUAGCUGGUCUGAGAGGAUGACCAGCCACACUGGAACUGUGACACGUUCCAUACUCCUGCGGGAGGCAGCAGUAGGGAAUAUUGCGCAAUGGGCGCAAGCCUGAUACAGCCAUGCCGCGUGUAUGAAGAAGGCCUUCGGGUUGUAAAGUACUUUCAGCGGGGAGGCGUUACCCGCAGAAGAAGCACCGGCUAACUCCGUGCCAGCAGCCGCGGUAAUAC